AAUCUCCUGGGGAGUUCGUGAUCGUGAUCGUCGUUAUUGAGCCAACACCGAGUAUUGGAGGGUCGCUUCCAGCCGGAUCGUGUGCGCACGGCAUGCCGGGGCGCCUGACGUUCGGCAGCAGCCCUCAGUUGUACAUACGAGGUUCAAUAUGACUCACGACACGGCUCUCCGGGAUCACU
rnacentral:sRNA from 1 species